UAUUCGACAAACUAGCAUUAGCACAAAGAAAGCUUUUUAUGCCGGUUAGAAAAGGUUUUCUAUGUCGAUUCUAGAAUAAAAAUAGAUAUGACCGAUAUAGAAAGUUUUCACUUUCUAUGAAGGUUAUGUUAAAAUUGGCUUAGAAAGUCACACUUUCAUUUCAUUCCCAAAUUCUCCAUUAAACCCUAAUUCCACCAUAGGCAGCAUGUUUUACCCCGGCCUUAUACUCAUUAUCGUUGUCAUUUACUCCUUGCUCUUCUUCCUUCACCUCUUUGUUCACAUCUGCGAGGUUUGCGUUAUAAUCACCC
rnacentral:lncRNA from 1 species